CUGCUGGUGGCGAGGAGGGACAGUGUAGAACUGCGCCAUCUGGUGGUAAUGAGGAGGGACAGUCUGGAACUGCUGGUGACGAAGAGGUCUGUGUUAAUAACGGACCAAUCAGCCAAUGAAAUGUUAACAGAUCAGCCAAUGAGGUGUCCUGUUAGAAGGAGAGUGACUCAAAAUGGAGGAAGAAGAACAGCUCCAAGGUCAGGAAACGGGGUCUGGAUUUUGGCCUCUGGAUCUUCAUUCCAUGCUGAAAAGUUCCUGGUUGUUGGUCUGAGUUCAGUCUGAAAGAUCAGUCUGAAGCGUCAUUCAGCUGGAUUUUCUGCAGCACAAAUAACCUUCCCAGAAUGCAAGACGCCAAGAAUCUCAUGGACUUAUUGAUCUUACACACCAGUUUUGCAUACAUUUGCAUAUUGAUGAGCAAGCAACCAAUCAGAGAAGCCAAUUAAAUAAAAAAAAUAAAACGAGUCUUUAUAAGGCUUGUGAUGUGAACGCUGUUCUCGACGACGGUGAAGACGAGAAAAAACACUAAUAAACAGGUAUUUCUACCACGAACGAGAAGCCUAGACACAUAGAGGAGAGUGUGUAACUGCGCCAUCUGCUGGUGAUGAGGAAGAACAAUGCGGAACUGCGCCGUCUGCUGGUGAUGAGGAGGGACAGUGCGGAACUGCGCCAUCUGCUGGCGAUGAGGAGCAAAACAGUUUUUGACCGCUUUCAUUUUUUAUACUUUCAACUUGAAACGCUCAUUAGCGCCCUCUAGCGGUCAUUUUCGUGUCGGGCCAAAAUGCAGUAUUUGCGGUAACAACAACAAAAAAAGCCCAAAAGUACAAAAUAAACAAAUAGUUUUAAACUGAGAUUUUAACAUUAUUGUCUAACAUUACACUAUAUUAUGUAACUGAAAUGCUUAAGCAGUACUAUUUGGAGUAAAUAUAGUAAAUUACAUGUACAAUACAAAUAUAGUUCAUUUUUUUCUUAUCUCACUGGAUGAGGGAGUGGCAUAACUUUCUGGAUGGCCAAAUCAAAGUUUGACAGAGCCGGUUUAUAAGGAGUCUGGUCUCUUCCAGUUUCGACCUUUAACUCAAAAAAUAUCACUGCUAAACAGCAGAGGGUGCCCAAGAGCGGGUCCUCAGUGAACGGGGGUGAACGGAGCUAAACGGCUAAAAUCGAAAAGUUAAAACUGUUUCGAAUCAUUUACACAGAACACAGAAGAAAACCUCACCUGUACGUUUCCUUUUCUACAGCAAACAGACGCUGACAUUACCGGAUACUGAGCGACGACUGGUUAGCAUUACUGCUACUGAGCAUUUGCUAUUUCCCUGAGAGCUCUCUUCCUAAAACAGGAACAUGAAAAGUAUAGUGUUGUUACAAGUGUUUAUUGUAAGGCUAAAAGCAUUCAGUCUUCAUUUUUUACCAUAAGAGCUCCAGAGCUGGAACUGCCUUUUGGAACCAUCGCUUCCAUAAAUCAUCCUGGCACAAGAUGUGCCCAAAUGUGGGUAGAUGCACAACCUGGGAAUCUCAAAGACAAAUGUCCAAAAAAAAAAGCACUGUUCUGUAGGCCUUGUGGUUUGCUGGUAUAAAUCACAUUUCUACAACCAGAGGGUUGUUGGUUCAAACCCCACUUUAGGGCUUUCAUUUGCAUGUCUUCAUCAGUAAAGAUGGCAAAAACAA